rnacentral:rRNA from 1 species
ACACAUGCAAGUCGAGGGGCAGCGAGAUUGAAGCUUGCUUCAAUUGUCGGCGACCGGCGGACGGGUGCGUAACGCGUAUGCAACCUACCCAUAACAGGGGGAUAACACUGAGAAAUUGGUACUAAUACCCCAUAACAUCUCGAGUGGCAUCACUUGGGGUUGAAAGCUUCGGUGGUUAUGGAUGGGCAUGCGUUGUAUUAGCUAGUUGGAGAGGUAACGGCUCACCAAGGCGACGAUACAUAGGGGGACUGAGAGGUUAACCCCCCACAUUGGUACUGAGACACGGACCAAACUCCUACGGGAGGCAGCAGUGAGGAAUAUUGGUCAAUGGACGGAAGUCUGAACCAGCCAUGCCGCGUGCAGGAUGACGGCUCUAUGAGUUGUAAACUGCUUUUGUACGAGGGUAAACCCGAAUACGUGUAUUCGGCUGAAAGUAUCGUACGAAUAAGGAUCGGCUAACUCCGUGCCAGCAGCCGCGGUAAUACGGAGGAUCCAAGCGUUAUCCGGAUUUAUUGGGUUUAAAGGGUGCGUAGGCGGUCAGAUAAGUUAGAGGUGAAAUUCCGGUGCUUAACACCGGCGCUGCCUCUAAUACUGUUUGACUAGAGAGUAGUUGCGGUAGGCGGAAUGUAUGGUGUAGCGGUGAAAUGCUUAGAGAUCAUACAGAACACCGAUUGCGAAGGCAGCUUACCAAGCUAUAUCUGACGUUGAGGCACGAAAGCGUGGGGAGCAAACAGGAUUAGAUACCCUGGUAGUCCACGCAGUAAACGAUGAUAACUCGUUGUCGGCGAUACAAUGUCGGUGACUAAGCGAAAGCGAUAAGUUAUCCACCUGGGG